rnacentral:rRNA from 1 species
CCCGCUGAACUUAAGCAUAUCAAUAAGCGGAGGAAAAGAAACCAACAGGGAUUGCCUCAGUAACGGCGAGUGAAGCGGCAACAGCUCAAAUUUGAAAUCUGGCCUCUUCGGGGUCCGAGUUGUAAUUUGUAGAGGAUGUUUCGGGUACCGCCCUCGGUUAAUUUCUUGGAACAGAAUGUCAGAGAGGGUGAAAAUCCCGUCUGGACCCGGCGGUAGGGCCCAUGUGAAACUCCUUCGACGAGUCGAGUUGUUUGGGAAUGCAGCUCAAAAUGGGUGGUAAAUUCCAUCUAAAGCUAAAUAUAGGCGAGAGACCGAUAGCGAACAAGUACCGUGAGGGAAAGAUGAAAAGCACUUUGGAAAGAGAGUUAAACAGUACGUGAAAUUGCUGAAAGGGAAACGCUUGAAGUCAGUCAUGUCUGCCAGGACUCAGCCUUGCUUCUGCUUGGUGUACUUUCUGGUUUGAUGGGCCAACAUCAAUUUUGACCGUUGGAGAAAGGCUUUGGGAAUGUGGCACCCUCGGGUGUGUUAUAGCCCAUUGUUGUAUACAACGGUUGGGAUUGAGGACUGCAGCACGCCUUUAUGGCUGGGGUUCGCCCACGUACGUGCUUAGGAUGUUGGCAUAAUGGCUUUAAGCGACCCGUCUUGAAACACGG